AUAAACAUUAUUAAUGCUUUUAAUAAAGUUAGAAGCUUUUUUUGAUAUUUCUUU
rnacentral:tRNA from 1 species